rnacentral:lncRNA from 1 species
UUAUGAUACUGAAUAUGAUGUCCUCCGCCCCCGAACGUUUCCGUCGUUCUGGUUUGGGGGUGUGACACCUUGUCAAGGACAUAUUCUUUGUCCUCGUAGCGGGUAAUCAUCCUGAUGUUUCUGAUCCACUCAUUGAAGUUGGAUCCAUCAAAAGUGACUUUCCCACACAAGUUCAUAAGGGUAAAGGAGCCAUUAGGGUUAGAGCCAGAAGCAGCAUUGUUUGAAGACAUCUGAAAGAAAAGGACAAGAUUAGUUUAGAUAUUAAGAGAAUCCUUAAUAAAACACCCAAAUGUAAUAUUAAGGCUAGGACCCAAUCACAAUAUAUUAUAACAUAGAAGAGGUAUGUCGUAAUCUAACCUAUAACAUAUUUGAAAGGUAAGUGAAUGACGAUUCACCAAUUUCCACCACGAAAACCGAAAUAUUAAAUAUUAGGUUUUUUAUUGGUUCUUAGAAAUUCCUAGAUUCUUUGAGAUUCAAUGAACUUUUCAAAGGCAUGUUUCAAUCUCGAGUGUGCCCUCCAAGUUUUGUGACUGNGAGGAUCACAAAACGAGGUGUGAAGUAACCAUGCAAAUCACUUGGUACCCUUAAAGUUUAUCACCCAAUCGAUGUGUCGGUAAACCACACACGCUCCACCAAUACUAUAAUAAACUUUAAAUCACCCUUUAUCUACCAUGGUAAGUCCAAGUUAGUGUGCCGGUUAACCACACACGCUCCACCNNNNNNNNNNNNNNNNNNNNNNNNNNNNNNNNNNNNNNNNNNNNNNNNNNNNNNNNNNNNNNNNNNNNNNNNNNNNNNNNNNNNNNNNNNNNNNNNNNNNAUUAAGAGAGAGUAAAUAUUAUUAGUAUAUUAUGUGAAUAAUAUAUUGUUAUUUGAUUAAUAUAAGUUAUAGGAUUAAUUAGAAUUAAUUUGGUGACUUAAAGAGAUUAAUUAAAUAAAGGGGUAUAAACUGUCAAUUGUUUGAUAGUUAAGCUUUAGACUGUAAAUCCAUUUGGAUAUGGUAUGGGCGAAUUCUAAGAGGUUUACGAUAGCUAAAAUCGUCCAUAUGCUUAUCUUAGGAAUGGAUUUGGAUAGCCUUAAGAGAAGAUUAUCCAAUUAGGGUUUAGGUUGUAACCCUUAAGGAGUCUACAAGUAUAAAUAGACCCUAUGNACCCUAUGGCUGAUGGAAUUCGACACUUGACCUAAAGCAAGGAACCUCUGGUCGAAUUCCUCCCCUCUCCUCUCUCCUAAAUCAUUCUUAUUGCUAUUGGUGUUUGUAAGCCAUUAGAGGAGUGACACUUGUGACUCUAGAAGCUCCAAGACCUCAAGAUCAACAAGGAACUCAAAGGUAUGAUUCUAGAUCUGUUUCAAUGUUGUUAUUUAACCUAAUUAGUCAUUAGAAGACUUGGAUUCAAUGCAUGUUUAUUAGAAAGCCUAGAUCCAAGCAUUAGGGUUUUGCAUGCGCACAUAGGGAAGUUCUUAUGGCUAAAACCCAUCAUUUCUGACCCUCAAGCAGGGUACUGAGUCUGUUACGGUGAUUACCAGGUUGUUCCACGAGAGGGCGACGUUCUGCCCUAAGCACGUUUCCACUGAGCAGGCACGUAUGAGCCGAUAUUUGCAUAUCUUGAGGCGAGAAAUUCGGGAGUUUGUGGCGAACUCCUCGUACCAGACAUUUGUCGAGCUUCAGGCAAAUGCCUAGAAGAGGGAGAUUGAGCUAGAGACUCAGGCUAGGGAGGAGGCGGAGUCUCGGGGGAGGGAUCGGCGACCGGCACAAUCCCAGCCGGCAGCCAAGUGGGCCAAGCCCGCUGAUCCCAAAUCAGGGAGCCAGAAGGGCCGCACUUGUGGGAAGUGCGGCAAGGGUCAUGAUGGAGUUUGUAAAGCUGGAUCUUGCUACAAGUGUGGCAAGGAGAGGCAUGUGGCCAAGGGCUGCCCCAAGGGGUUUGCAGUGUGUUUCCACAGCAACCAGACCGGACACCGGAAGGCAGAGUGUCCGCAGUUGCGUGGAUCAGCUCUGGGAGCACUUCAGGGAUCUGCCCCUGCCUCCAUCAGAGCUACCGAGAGUCGGCCAAUGAAGGCCGAGGCGCCGAGGGCACGAGGGAGAGCCUUUCAGUUGACCACAGAGGAGGUACGCGCAGCGCCCGAUGUCGUGGCUGGUAUGUAUUCUUUUGUGUAUUUAUUUUGAUGUUGAGAUAUUAUGCUUAUACUAUGUUAUGCGUAGGUACUUUUCUUGUGAAUUCUGUACCUGCCUUGGUGUUAUUUGACUCGGGUGCGAGUCGGUCUUUUGUAUCUUUGGCUUUUAGUCAGCAUAUCAGUGUUAGUCGUGAGGCAUUGAGUCGGCCUCUGAGAGUUUCCAUAGCUGACGAGAGGGUGAUAUAUGCCACGGAGGUGAUCCGUGGGUGCGUGUUCGAGAUUUUCGGUGUUGAGUUCCCGAUUGAUUUGGUUCCUAUUGCGAUGGGUGAUGUCCGUGUCAUUGUGGGCAUGGACUGGUUAAGAAGAUUCGGUGCAGUUAUCGACUGCGAGCGGCAGUUGGUGACCAUACGAGUCCCUAGUGGGGGAGUUCUUAUGGUGUACGGUGAGGGUACACAUUCUGGGUCAGCGUUUUGUUCGGCCGCUAGGGUGAGGCGGUGUCUACAGCAGGGCUGUAAGGGCUUUGUGGCGUAUGUGAUGGAUACGCGGGUUGAUUCAGAGAGGCCGAGGUCAGUUGAGGAGGUUCCGAUAGUGCGUGAGUUCCUGGAUGUAUUUCCAGAGGAGUUGCCGGGUGUGCCUCCCGUGAGGCAAGUGGAGUUCAGUAUCGAUUUGGUUCCGGGGGCCGCGCCUAUCUCCAAGGUGCCUUAUCGCCUUGUACCUCCAGAGAUGCAAGAGUUAUCCUCGCAGCUUCAGGAGCUGCUGGGAAAGGGCUUUAUUCGGCCGAGCAGCUCACCAUGGGGAGCGUCUAUCCAUUUUUUCAAGAGGAAGGAUGGUUCACACCGAAUGUGCAUUGAUUACCAGGAGCUGAACAAGCUGAUGGUCAAGAACCAUUACCCGUUGCCGAGGAUCGACGAUUUGUUCGAUCAGUUACAGUGAGCAUCUUGGUUCUCCAAGAUCGAUUUGAGGUCUGGAUAUCAUCAGGUGAGGGUGCGAGAUGAGGACAUCCAAAAGAAAGCGUUCAGGACACGUUAUGGACAUUACGAGUUUGUGGUGAUGCCUUUCGUGCUCACCAAUGCCCCGACAGUGUUCAUGGAUCUCAUGAACUGAGUGUGCAGGCCGAUGUUGCAUCGGUCGGUGAUUGUAUUCAUCGACGACAUUUUGGUAUAUUCGAGAUCUAGAGAGCAGCAUGAGGAGCAUUUGAGGGAGAUCCUCGGAGUUCUGAGAUCGGAGAGGCUUUAUGCCAAAUUCUCCAAGUGUGAUUUCUGGUUGCGAGAGGUCCAGUUCCUAGGGCAUCUCGUUAACCAGAAAGGGAUUUUGGUCGACCCGGCCAAAGUUAACGCAGUGAUGAUUUAGGAGGUGCCGAGGUCACCCUCCGAGAUCCGGAGUUUCUUAAGGUUGGCAGGUUAUUAUCGAAGAUUUAUCAAGGAUUUCUCUAAGAUCGUAGUGCCACUCACCAGGUUGACCCGGAAGGGUGUCGCUUUUUCAUGGGGCCCCGAGCAGCAGGCCUCCUUUGAGACGCUUCGCCAAAGGUUAUGCGAAGCCCCGAUGUUAACUCUCCCGAAGUGGAUGGAGGACUUUGUGGUAUACUGUGAUGCGUCGAUCUUGGGGUUGGGAGCGGUGGUGAUGCAGAGAGGGCAUGUGAUAGCAUACGCAUCAAGGCAGCUGAAGCCCCAUGAGGCGAGGUAUCCCACCCAUGAUAUAGAGUUGGGUCAGUGGUGUUCGCCCUCAAAAUUUGGUGUCACUAUAUAUAUGGGGUUCGGUGUACGAUAUACACGGACCAUAAGAGCCUGAAGUAUUUGAUGGAUCAGCCCAACCUAAACAUGCGGCAGAGGAGGUGGUUGGAUGUGGUCAAGGAUUAUGAUUGUGAGAUCCUGUACCAUCCGGGCAAGGCUAAUGUGGUAGCCGACGCCCUGAGUCGCAGGGCGGAGAGUGCCCCAUUGUGAUAUGUAUGUUUGCGAUUGACCGUGAUGGUUCCGGUGUUGGACACCAUUCGUGGAGCACAGGCUGAGGUCGUGAGAUCGGAGAACCAGAAGUGGGAGCGAGUUGUUGGGUUGGUAUCAGAGUUCGUUACCGAUGGUCGGGGGCUUAUGACAUUUCAAGGGCGUAUAUGGGUACCAUUUGUGGGAGGGACGCAUACCAUUUUGAUGGAAGAGGCUCAUCGGUCGAAAUUCUCGAUCCAUCCUGGGGCCACUAAGAUGUAUUUGGACUUGAGGAGAGAUUAUUGGUGGCCCUGUAUGAAGAGGGAUGAUGUGUGGUUUGUUGAGAGGUGCUUAACUUGCCGUAGGGUUAAGGCCGAGCACCAGAGACCGCAUGGUAAGUUGCAGCCGUUGGAGGUUCCCGGGUGGAAGUGGGAACAAAUUACCAUGGUUUUUAUCACCAAAUUGCCAAGGACUGCUAAGGGAGUCGAUGCAAUUUGGGUGAUUGUGGACAGGUUGACAAAGAGCGCCCACUUCCUUGGUAUCAGUGAGAGCUCCUCUGCAGAGAAGUUAAUAGAGAUGUACGUGAGGGAAGUGGUAUCUCGGCAUGGGGUGCUGAUCUCGAUUGUCUCAGACCGGGAUGUACGUUUCACUUCCAGAUUCUGGAAGAAGUUUCACGAGGAGUUGGGUACUAGGCUGCAUUUUAGUACCGCAUAUCAACCCCAGACAGACGGACAGAGUGAGCGGACGAUCCAGAGGCUUGAGGACAUACUUCGGGCAUGUGUGUUGGAUUUCGGGGGGAAUUGGGAUACGUAUUUUCCCUUGGCAGAGUUUUCCUACAACAACAACCAUCAUUCGAGCAUUGGUAUGCCACCCUUUGAGUUGUUGUAUGGGAGGAGGUGUCGGACCCCCAUUUGCUGGGGAGAGGUCGGACAGCGUGUUAUGGGUAGUACAGAGAUCAUGCUUCAGACGACAGAGCAGAUCCAGCAAGUCCGACAGAGGUUGUUGACCGCUCAGAGUCGUUAGAAGAGUUAUGCGUACAGACGCCGGUCCGAGCUUGUGUUUCAGGUCGGCGACUUUGUGCUCCUGAAGGUCUCUCCUUGGAAAGGAGUGAUUCGAUUCAGGAAGAGGGGCAAGUCGGGACCCCGAUAUAUUGGUCCAUUCCGGGUGGUCGCGAGGGUAGGUAGGGUAGCCUAUCGCUUGGAGUUGCCAGCGGAGUUGGGUCAGAUUCACGACACUUUCCACGUGUCGCAAUUGCGGAAGUGUAUAGCCGAUGAGUCGGCAGUGGUUCCAUUAGAGGAUAUUCAGGUGGAUGCGAGCCUGAAUUAUGCUGAGAGACCGGUGGCAAUCAGAGAUCGGAAAAUCAAGGUUUUGAGGAUCAAGGAGGUACCCUUGGUUUUGGUUCAGUGGCAACAUCGGAAGGGGUCCAAGAUGACUUGGGAGCCGGAGCGUGAGAUGCGUGAGCACUAUCCGGAGUUAUUUGCGGUGCGAGACUUCGAGGGCAAAGUCUAGUUAUAGUGGGGGAGAAUUGUAGCAUCCCGAAUUCCCAGGUAUUAUUUAUUAUUGUAUUUUUGGUGAUUUGUGAGGAGACUCGGCGAGUUGGAGCCCAAACUCGCCGAGUAUGAUCGCGGUUAUGGGUGCGGGUUCGCGUCUGGACUCGGCGAGUCCACGCAGUUUCAUGUAACCCUAAUUCACCGGGUUUGGAACCUAUUUAAGGGCACUUAUAGCCUCCCAUUGCGGCUACCAGUCCCUUGAGAGAACCCUAAGAGAGCUAAAUCGCUUUGAGAGAGAAGAAGUCACUUUUGGAUCUUUGUAUCCUUUGAUUAGCAAGAAGAAGGUGACAAGAGCAAGGAGGAGGUGAGAUUCAAGCAGAUCUAGAGUCCAAAGGCUUCAUUUUGAGGUAAUAGUUCAAACCUCCUUCAGUUUUAGGGUUAAUCUUUAGAGUUAGGGUUUUCUAACCCGUUUGGAGAGUGAUUAUGUGAAGAAAAUGGUCAUUCUUCAAGUUUGUGCCUUGGAUCUGGACUCAAAGAGGUCUAGAGACCUUAACCCUUGGAGCUUUUUUGGGUUAGAAUGGAGUUAUUGGACUUAGGUUGUCAUUUUUGGGACCAAAUCUCCUUUUGAUUCCUUGUUGUGGUUAUACAUGUUGGGUUUUGAGCAUUCUAACACUCCUAAGUGUACAUGCAACCCUAAAUACCUUGGAUCUAUGUUUUCUCUAUUAUACAUACAAAUAUGAACAUCCAAGGUAUUAUCCUAAUCUAGCAUACAAAACAAUGAAUGUAACAAGAUAGAAUACAUACCUCUUUGAUGUAGAAUGUCUUCAUGAAGCUUGAGUGCCUAGUGCCCCAAGUGUGACACCUCAAAUGGUUCACACAACACCAAAUACACUUGGAAUAACUUGAGAGAAUACUACACUUCAUGAAAAUCGGCUAGCCCUCUCUAGAGUGAUACUAGUCGCCGAUUUUGUCAAGAAUAAGAUCUUUAUAUAGUGUUACAAUUAGGGUAAACCCUAAUUGUCAUGACUUUCCAUUUCCUUGGAUCCAUGGGUUCAAAUACACCAUGGAGCAUCCAUGGACCAUCCUAUGGGUUUUAGCCCAACUUGAUUAUCCAUGGAGCAUUAGCCCACUAUACAAGUAUGGAUGAUUUACACAAUCAACCCAUAUAUUUAAUUAGUCUUCUUUUGAUCACUUAAUUAAUCCUAGAUUAAUUCUUGAUCAAUACUAAUUAAAUAAUCUUAUUAUUCUUAUUAUUAAUAUACUAGAACUUAUAAUAUAUUAAUAACCAUAAGUGUCUUAUUUCUCUCAUUAUAGUCUAUCCAAGUGCAUGAUGCCAUGCAACCCAAAUGGACCAUGCCGGGUCGGGUCAAGUCUUACCGAUUAUAGUUAUGGAUUUAGACAUUAAUCCAAUAGUCUCGCACUUCGAUAAGUCUAAAACUAAUAUUGCGUAUGACUUUAGGAACCGACUGGCAAUCGUAACUCUCAAAAGCUUCUGUCGAGCUCUGACCUUGUAGAUGAACUCUGACCUUUGUCAGUUACUUGUCCAUUAGAUAAGGGAUCAUACAUUCCUACAUUCUAGAUAUCGUAUGGACUGACACAUGGAUUAUAAUAUUUCUCUCUGUCCAUUUGUUGUUUCCCGUUUUCCGAUUUAUGAUGACUGACUAAUUGAACAAAUCAAAUCAUUCUUGGCCCGACCGAGCACUUCCAUUUGUCAUCAUCAAAUCAUCAAGGGGCCCACAGAUAUCGCUUUUAUCCCAAAGGUAAAAGGAAUGGAUAAACUUCGACUCAUAUGGCUUGUUCUACUACUUGUUGAAUCAUACACAAAGACACAUUUUAUAGCACCAAGUUACCAAAUGUGUUUUUGUGCGAUCAAUGUACUAUCAACUCAUAGUAACAACUCAUAUCUCUAGGUUUGAAGAAUAUAAGAUAUUAUCGUCUCAUGAUCACUCGUGAUAAAAUCCAUGAAGUGAUUCCAAUGAGCGUGGGUUGAAUCCAAUACUCAUAACUUAUGAGCACUCAUGAGUGUUGUAGCCCUUUGUCCAACACCUUAGACCUCUACAAGCCAACCCAUGACAGUCUUAAUUCAUAUCUACUUCCAACAUAUGACCGACUGUGGAUGGUUUGAAUAACUUAGUCAUUCCGGAAGAAUAACCUAGUUUAUUCUGGAAGUCAAAACAUGCAAAAUGAAACACAAUAAUAAUUGAAUCCAAUAUGGUAUCAAAACCUAUGAACAUAAAUAAAACACCUUUUAUUUAUCACCAUAUGAUUACACAUUAUUCAUUGUAUACUGUUUCAGCUAUCAACUUUAUUCUUGAAUUUAAAACAAUAGUUGUCCCAUGCUCCAAGCAUGUACACUAUGUUUUCUAAACACUAGUCAUGCCAUACACCAAGUAUGCAUACUAUGUUUGUCUAUGAUCUUUACUUUGUGAACUAGAUCAAUUGAACAUAACUUCAAUGAUUCUCUUUUCACACUCCCAAAUCCUUACUGCAAAUGCAAGAAUUCCAAAUUCAUGCCAUUUACUGAAAUCUGUUAGAUUCUAAACUUAUAUGCAUUGAUCCUCUUGUAAUGAUUAUGCACAAAGUCACAAAGACUUGGCAACAAUCAUUACAGAGUAUUCCAAAGGAGAUCAACUCCUUGGAAAUAUCCUUCUUGCAUUAAGUUUCCUUAAUCUUACACAGAUUGAAAAUUCUAACUUUGAAACAUUUCCAGAUUCCAUUUUGACUAUCACUUCUGAACAAGAGUUGCCUCCUUACAGAUUAUGUCAAUAUGGUCCUUCCAGAAUUAUCACUAUACUUCCAAUUGUCCUUGAGUAACCAAUCUUUGGUAAACCUUAGAUUGUCCUCGACAAUUGUUUAAUCCUUUUAGUCAUAUCCAGUUCUAAACCUUUUCCCUUCUUAAUGCCCCAGGCAUUUGGAAAAUUUUAGAACGGAUGAAUAUAGCACAUGUAAUCGAUCCUAUAUCCGAAGCAUAUGGGACACGAUUCAUGAUGUCUUACAUAAAGACUAAACCAGUCUUUUGCUAUAAUAUUUCCAUUUCAAUUUGCCAAGUUCUCAUAAUUCAGAUUAUGAAAAGGGAUGCCGUAAUCAUAAUCGAAUUUUAGAACGCAAAUAAUGGACCCAUAUACAGAAUUUCCUUAUGUUGAGCCAUUCCAACAUGAAAUUCAUAUAUAUCCUUGACUAAAUGAUUAAAACCUCACGAUCUAAGCUUAUAGAUUUGAGAUGAAGCAUAAUUUCCUCUCCCUUAAUUAUAGCAAAACAACUUUUUCCCAAUUGAAACUUUUGUUUUCUAUAAUUAACAUUGCUAACUUGCAAUACUUAUCAUAAUUAUCAUGCUCCCACUAACAUGAUGAUUAUUAGCAUAACACUUAUGCUCCCACUAGCUUUGACAUGUACUCAGAAAUCAGCUGGACAGUCUGAAAUUUAGAUUCAUACACCCUUUCCGUAGAUAGCUCACCUGUGUGUCUAAGCAAUUUCAAGAACCAUGAAAAGGGAUACCGUAAUCAUGGUCUCAAUUGCUUAGGCAUUUGCCAUUUCUCACAAGUCCAUGUUAGUGUGCCGGUUAACCACACGCGCUCCACUAACGACUUUUGAAAAUGCAAAUAACACAAUUGAUAUCUUCGUAAAAUCUACUUAGUGAAAGCGUUUCCUCACCAUCAUUUUCAUGAAUCGGAGAGAAACCUUAUGACACUUAGAUUUAUAUGGUGUAUGAGUUCCUACCCAUAUGAAUUUGUCAAACCAUAAUCACAAGACAAAGAUAAUGACAAAUCCAAAACCAUAUGGAUUGAACUCAAUCUUAACUUCUUGCCACCUGGCAGCUCAAGGGCCUGCCAUUGCUUCCAAGUUGUUGUGCAACAAAUUGAGAACUCUAAGAACUCAUAUGCAAAACCAACUUUAACUGGAAUGGGCACAGAAUAUGUCAACACGAUAGGUUAUGAACCUCAAGUCGUGUGCUAGUGAAGAACUUUAGGUUUUAUUCUUGAUUAUUUCUUGAGACUUUCAAGACCUUUAAGACUCCCACUGUCCUCUUGACAUAUAAGACUCCCUUGUCAAACAUCCAAGAGAUAGUGCGGAUUCUAAUCAAGAAAAACACUUUACCCAAUUGGCCUAAGUUGGUCUUUGUUUUAUCCAAAACAUCACAACUUACCAAUUUCAAAUGUACAAGAGUAGAAAACUUUUACUCUUACAUUUGACAAGUGUUUUAAACCUUCUUUAAGACAUGUCACUCAAAUGACAAUCUUGGAGUAUGACUCUAAGACUUGUAUUGGAACGAAGUAUGACUCAUCUUCUUGAUUUAACCAUUUCAACAAUUCAAGUUCCUCUUCUUAGUCAUAAGAAUGCACUAAGAUUUCCUUAGAGAACUAAUUUUGAUAUGGUUUCUUAAUCAUUAAGAUGAUCACAAAACUGAUACUAAAGUACUCUCCCAUCUUUUCAGAUUUGAGAAACUUUUAUCCUUCUGCCUUAUUUGAUUCUUCUUAUCGAUCUUUAGUGGUGGACUUAAUCAGUGCACAAGAAUGUGUACUCGAUCCCUAAGUCCUUUACUUGACUCACACAUCCAUGUGAACAAGUAAUUAGUCUUAAUUUUCCAAAACUUGAAAGUUCUCAUUCAUCAUGCUAUACAACUUGCAUGAUUCCAAGUUCCGGUCCAAUUGAAACUUGGGUGAUGAGAAUCUUUCCUUAUUUGGUAAAUUUAGACAUUACCACAAAUGAAAGAAUCAAUUUCAUACUUCCACUCUUGCUACUAAUGGAAUCUUAUAAGCAACAAAAAUUUCCACAGAUGCCAUUGUAAGGAUAUUUUAAAAUAAAUAAAAUCAAAAAUUUCCUUUUAUUUUAAAACUUUGCGGAAAAACUAUCCUUACAAUCCAUAUGAAAACUUGUUGUUAUCUAUUCCUAAGCAAUAUCUCAUAACUCCUAAGAAGUAGCUCAAGAAUCCGAUUUUUCAAACUAUGCGAUAGAAAUCCAUCUAUGCGAUCAGAUUCAGCAUAUUCUUCCUUUAAGUUUCUUCACUUUCCUUUGAUUCUUAAACCAUCACCAUGCGACCCGGUCACAUCAUGUAUCAAGAAUCUCAGAAUAGAAACUUAACAGAGUUAGAUAGUGGAUUUUACCUGAAGUAGAGUCAAACUUAUUGACUUUAACAUCCUUAGGUAAAUUUGGCAGCUUCGCAACCAAUGCCCUUUCUUUGGCAAUACAAACAUAUGGACCCUUUGAUAAUGGUACACAGGACUAUCACAGACUUAGCUUUUCUCUUUACCAUUUGGUCAACCGAGUUGACUAUAGCCGAUCCCUUUCCAUUGGGAAGAGAAUGCUUUACUGGAUAUCCAAUGUCAUCAUUGUCAAUGUCCAUAAAGUUUUAGGAAGUUGAUCUUAACAAAUAGAUAAGAUCAUUAAGGGUCUUGUCAUAGUCUUUUUCAUAGGUGUUCCAAAAGAACUCACUAUGUGACUUAGAAAGUAGUUGAACCACCAACUUUCUCAAGACUUUGACACCCAACUCUCCCGGCUUGUCAAUAUGUGACUACAUCUCCAAGAUGUGACCACACCUAGACCUUGCCUUGCCAAUAGGGCCUGAGUGACCUUAAACUUUUCAAGAACUUGUGGGUUAGGGAGAAUAAUUUGAAGAGGUGAAGAAGUAUGAUAUCCAUGGGACAUCAUCUUCAUUAGGAAACCUUGUUUCAAGAGAUUUGGGAAGAUCAUAGGUGUCUAAACCAGACAUCUUUUGGGAGAUAUUCAAGAUAGUUGAUUUAAAGUCCUUAAUAUGACACCCAAUAUGAAAUAUUAAGGCUAGGACCCAACAAACUAUUUUAUAACUUAGAAGAGGUAUGCCGUAAUCCAA